rnacentral:antisense_RNA from 1 species
AGGCGACUGCUCCCGCGAGGUCAGAGCCGGGCUGUGCCGCUGCCCCCGGGACUAGAAAGGGAAAUCUCCUUGCUAGAGGAGGAAGCCCUAAGAACUCAAGGGAGAUAGGGGUGGCAGGGGCAUUUCCCUGGAUGCCUGGAGCAUGGAGGGUGCGAAAUAAGGAGGCUUUCCUUCCCCAUUGAUGAGCUGAAGUUGAUUCCGCACGGGGAAGGAAAGGGACAGGAAGCAUAAUUGGAUGUGCAAGCCUGUGGUUCUUCAGGAAGUUAACACGUGGAACUAACACUGUUGGAUGCUGCUGAACUCUCAGGGGGCUUUCCGGAAGCACUAAGAAAUAGAACUAGUUUGUCUAAUUUGGAAUUAAAAGAGUAACCAACUGAGUGUCUUCAGCAGUGACAAUGAAAAUGUACCACUUCCCAUUUUGAUAAUUCAAAGAGCCUUAAGAAAGAUCGUUUUGCUUGAAAGCACCAUUUCACACUGACACUGGUCAUUCAUAGGCUUCAGAUAAGAAAAACUCCAGCAGUGUCCAGAUCAAGCCAUCCUGACUUUGUCUCUAGGCUGCUUAACCUCAAGUCACAGCCUGGUCUCUGCAGCAGAGCCAGGC